CCUCCUGACGCAGCCGCCUGAGUCACACCAAGCCUAGGUCGAGGUACGACAUGGUAUCAGAGCCAGGUUCGGCGGCGACCUCACCCGCGACGGGGGCGACCUUCCCGGCGAUGGCGGCGGUGCUAGCUUGAGGCGAGGCGGCGUGGUCCAAGAAGGGCGGUGUGCUCGCCCUCGAGCGACGGUCGCCUGCAGCAGGGCGGCGCACGGAGGUGCGUGGGCCAGGGGGGCACCAUGUGAGGAGCUCUGCGUGGGGCCAUGGCAGAGCCGCUGGAGAGGGAGAAGAUGGGGAAGCUGCUCAUGACACCAGGUUGGGAGCAGUCGCGAGAAGAUGAAGCUCAAGGUGGUUGUGUGCGUGGGUUGCCAGAGAAGACAUGCGGCUCUGUUGCCGGACAGGAUGCUCACGUGACGUGGAAGGAGAAGGCGGUGGAGACGGUCAUGGACUUGGAGGAGCAGGCAUUGUGGGUACAGAAGAAUUUGGCGUGUGGAGCUCGGUGCGAGGCACGGCGCAGCAGGCACUUGCUGCAGCGUGGACCGCAGUGGCGCAAAUAGUGGAGUAGGGCACAGAGGAUGCCCUUGAUGUGGCUUUAAAUUCAGGACUCCCUGGUGUCGAGAAGAUUGAGAUGGCGCCGGUGCCCUUGGUGGAGGGGAUGGUUCCCGUGAAGGGGGAGCAGCUGACGGAGAUUGAGGUGCCAACUGGGUGUUUGGAAGGAGAAGCCGGCAUUGGGGAGGUCAUUGAUGUGAAGAAGAGGAAGAUGGAUGGUAAGGUUGUUGCUCCUGCUGAUCUGAAGUUGAAGGUUGCAAAUAAAAAUGAGGAGGUGCUGAUGCAAAGGGGCAUCAAUGAGUGGAGCCAGCAUGAGCUGUUGGAGCUUCUCAAGGUGAUUCUGGGUGAGAUUGGUUCUCGUAGUGAGAUGGUUGGAGCUGCGAACUUUGUGCAUACUGUUGAGAAGGCCGAAAACGUUGUGUUUACGGCUCAUGGAACAUGUCCGGAAUGCAUUCGGCAAUUCGAAGGAGUUUGAACACUACGACUCGUAUCCUCCCACACACAAGGAAACUGUUUAGAUUGCUAAUGGCACAAGACAACCCGUCGUUGGAGUAGGGUCAGUGCAGUGUACUCCAGCUAUCAAACUGUACUCGACUUUACAUGUUCCUACGUUCCCGGUGAACCUUGUGUCAUUGGGUGCUCUUGGAAUUAUUCUUGACAAAGUGGGCUGUUCAAUACAGGAACAACAGACAGGAAGACAAAUUGGUGCAGGAACUAGGCGUAGAGGAUUGUGGUACAUGGAUCGAGAGGAAAAUGGCCAGACGAGUUGCUCUGUGUUUGCUGCAGUGGUUAGAGAGAGGGAGACCAAGGCAAUGAUUAACCAUUGCAGGAUGGGUCAUGUCUUUUGACAAGAUGUAUAAGGUGUUUCCGGAUAUGAUGAAAGGAGUGGAUAAAGAACAAAUGAGAUGUGAUGCAUGUGAGUUUGCAAAGCACACACGGACUGUUUAUCUGAGUAGGGGAUUGAGGAGUAUAACCCCAUUUACGCUGGUGCACUCUGAUGUUUGGACAUACCCUGUUACUUCUAUGAGUGGAAUGAAAUACUUUGUGACAUUCAUCAAUUGCCACACACGCAUGACUUGGUUUACCUCAUGAAACAUAAAGAUGAAGUGUUCACCUAUUUUAGGGAUUUUUAUCCCUUUGUGCAAACACAAUUUAAGGUGCAAGUCCAAGUGCUUAGAUCUGAUAAUGGACAGAGUAUAUCAAUAAGAAGUUUGGGGGUUUCCUUUCAGAUCAUGGAAUCUUGCAUCAGACCUCUUGUCCAGAUACCCCACCACUGAAUGGCGUACUUGAGAGAAAGAAUCAUCACAGCUUGGAGGUGGCUAGGUUGUGCACAAUGAAUGUUCCAAAGUUCCUUUGGAGUGAAGCUGUGAUGACGGCUACCUUUCUCAUAAAUCGUACACCUUCCAAAAUCUUCCAAACGAAGUCUCCAUGUGAGUUGUUGCUAGGUGAAAACAAGUUUGAAGUUCCUUCUAAGGUGUUUGGCUGCACUUGCUUUGUUAGGGAUCACAGGCCCUCUGUCACAAAACUUGAUCCGAAGGCAAUCAAGUGUAUCUCUUCAUUGGCUACCCCUCUGGACAGCGAGGGUACAGAUGUUGGAGUCUCUCCGAUAGGCGCACAUUUGUAAGUGCUGAUGUUACUUUUUGGGAAUCUAACCCGUUUUAUGGUGAACCAACAGAUUUGAGCAUAUUGUCGAGACGCUUGACCAGCGGGAAUCUGCAGCCGGUCAAGAGGGGAGUGUUGGCAAUCCUUCUAGUAGUCCUGCUGCUAUUUCUUCAAAUGGACAACAACAACAACCUCUUGUUGGUUCUAUUCCUCUGAUUGUCGGUUCUAUUCCCAUCCCUGUAACAACGGAAGUGCAUAAUGGCAUGAGGUGGCCAAAGGUUAACGAAGAGCAGAACCCUCGUGUCUACUCCCGAAGACACAAGGUUGAGCAGCAGGGGGUGCAACAGCAUUAGGGGGAGAUGCAGAAUGUAUGUUCACAGUGUGAAGAUGAGUCAUCUGAAGGCAGUUCGUCAGAAAGUGAGUCAGGAGAUAGAUCAGGUGUAUCCCCCUCAAGCUUGCCAAUUGCAUUAAGAAAGGGAACAAGAGAAGCUGCAGCAAAACCGAUUGAGAAAUAUGGUUUUGAGCACAAUAUCAGAACUAUGUAUCUUAUGAUGCUUUCUCCGUCUUAUAGAGCGUUUGUUGCCUCACUUCAGACCAUUUCGAUUCCAUCAGAUUGGAAAGUUGCAAAGCAGGAUCCUAAGUGGUGCGCAGCCAUGAGAGAGGAACUGGAGGCAUUAAGGAAGAAUGAAACAUGGGUGCUAACUGAUCUCCCAAAAGGAAAGAAGGUUGUUGGUUGCACAUGGGUCUAUACGGUGAAGAAAAAUCCCGAAGGGAAGAUAGAGAGGUAUAAGGUAAGGCAGGUUGCAAGAGGCUAUACUUAGACAUAUGGGAUGGACUAUGAUGAAACCUUUGCUCCCGUGGUGAAGAUGAACACCUUGAGUACUCCUGUAUCAUGUACAACGAACCUUUGGGUCUUCAUCAGCUAGAUGUGAAGAAUGCCUUUCUGCAUGGCGAUCUUCAAGAGAAGGUAUACAUGGAGGUACCACCAGGAAUGGCUGCGGCCGGCAAUGGUGAGGGGAAGUUAUGCAGGCUGAAGAAAGCACUUUAUGGGCUGAAACCAUCUCCAAGAGCUUGGUUUGAUAGGUUCAAGCGUGUUGUUUGUGGAAUGGGGUAUGGACAAUGUAAUGUUCAUCGCAUUGUGUUUACAAGCGUUCAAACCGAAAGAUAACCAUCCUGGCCAAAUAUGUGGAUGAUAUUAUAAUCACUGGAGAUGAUGAGGCUGAGAUAUGUGGAUUGAAGCAAUGUCUCAGCAACACAUUUGAAAUAAAGGAUCUUGGCCAGUUGAGGUACUUCUUGGGCAUAGAGGUUGCAAUGUCAAGCAAGAGAAUAGUGUUGUCACAACGAAGGUAUACUCUGGAUCUACUCAAUGAUGUGGGCAUGAUUGGGUGUCGAGCAGCUGCCACUCCUAUUGAAUCACAAUAUAACAGCGGAAUCUGGUGAGCCUGUAGACAAAGAUAGAUACCAGAGACUUGUGGGCGGACUACUCUACUUAUGUCACACUAGGCCAGAUAUAACCUUUGUCGUGAGUGUCAUAAGUAGGUAUAUGCAUGAUCCAAGGAGUGAACACCUUGAGGUUGUUAACCGCAUCUUGAGAUAUCUAAAGGGUACCCCACGAAAGGGUUUGUUGUUUGAGAGUAAUGGACACCUAGUUGUGGAUUGGUACAAUGAUGCAGACUGGGGAAGUUGCUUGGAUGACCGACGAUCAACUUCAGGGUAUUGUGUGUUUGUCGGAGGAAACUUAGUGUCAUGGAGAAGUAAGAAGCAACCUGUGGUGUCAAAAUCAACAGCUAAAGCAGAAUACAGAGCCAUGUCCCAGGGGUUGAGUGAGAUGUUGUGGGUGAGAAAUCUUCUAACUGAGUUGAAGCUGCUAAGAGAAGGGCCCCUGCAUGUCUGGUGUGACAAUUGGUUAGCUAUAUGCAUAGCAAACAAUCCAGUGCAACAUGACAGAACUAAACAUAUUGAGAUUGACAGGUUCUUUAUCAAAGAGAAGGUAGAUGCGGGGAUAAUCAAAAUAGAUCAGGUGAGUUCAGGGCAGCAGAUUACAAAUUGCUUGACCAAGGGACUGGGAGCUAGAGAAUGCAGUUUGGCCCGUGACAAGAUGGGGAUGAUAGAUACACCCAUCUUGAGGGGGAGUGUUGGACUGGCAAGUGACACAAGGCCCAGCCCAUUAGGCCCAUCACUUGUUUAGAAGAACUAGAGAGCCACCUCCUCCUGACCUAGCCGCCUGAGUCACACCAGGCCCAGGUCGAGGUUCGACACAGAUGCUUCAAUAUUAAGGUCCGUCAACAAUGAGGACAAUGUCUUCUCUGACGCGCCUCCAUGGUGAGGCGUCAGAGUUGUUCUGCUGCUGCGCUAACGCAUGCUUUUAAGGUUCGUUAGAGGUUUUCCUUUACUAAGUUUAAUUAAUUCAUUGACAGUACAAAUAGAUGUAUGACCAAUAGAGCUCGCUACAGCUAACAAUACACACACAUGCACUAGCACUAGCACAUGCUACACAAUACUCAGAGUCAUCUUCAAAAUUUCCAUCGAUGGAGGAGGAGCAGGAAGCGGAGUCCCUAAGCCACGACAUUAUUGAUUCAACUCCUUCGCCGGUGUAUCCACUAUUCCACUAUGGCCCAUAUUCGAAGAUUGGAAACUUUGAGAACAGAUCGAGAAGUAGCUAGGGAAAAUGGUGUACAUGUUUUUAUAUAGGUUGUUAUACCAUUGACGUGUCUACGCUCAAGAAGCAUCAGGGGUGUAAAUGGAACCUCUAUUGAGCCCACGCUUCCCUAGCAUUGGUAGAGCAGAGCAGGGAUAUAGAAGAAUGAGAAGCUCAGCUCCAGACCUGCCAUCAUUGCUAUUGGACGCUCGAAUUAUAUUUCUUGGAAUGCCAGUCAGAGAUGGACUCCAAUUGUUCCAGCAGCAACUGAGCUUAUCGUCGCACAAUUUCUGUGGCUAGAUUGUGAUGAUCGCACCAAACAAAUUUACUUGUAUAUAAACUUCACGGGAGAUGCAUAUGCAAUUGCUGAUUUUUUCAAUGUAAGCACUUAACUUAGAUUAACAGGACACUUGACAUAUCUUUAUACCACGCUCAUUUACAAAAUUUAUCAUGUCCAGUCUCCUGUGUCAAGUGCAUAGUGGGUGCUGCAUCCAUGAAGGAUGUUUGCAUUAAUGAUGCACUAUUUUCACUAUUGACCCUAUGUUUCAAGUUCCAACAUCAUGAUUGAUUAUAUUGUUUAACAGUUUUUCUACAAAUGCACACCCCAUUCCAUUCAGCCCUUUGGGGUUUGCAGUCUAUGACAGUGAAAUAUUUUGCAUAUUGUAUUGUGCUCCUUAUAUUUGCUAUCAGAGAUGCUAGCUGUUACAUAGAUUCUUAAAUUUUGCUUGCACAUUUUUUAAGGGCUCUUGAGUUCACUUAACUAGUGAUUAGUGAACCAUGAAACUACAUCUAUAGAAGGUGAUCACCUAUACCUCUCAGACUGUGCAGUUACGCCGUAGCAACUGUGUUGACUACGUACCUUGUAUGGGGCGGGGCUAAGCUUAAAUACCCUUGUACUACUAGGGCCUUGCUUUCCCGAGGGAAGUAUCAGCUUAGCCCCGCCCCAUAGGUACGUAGUCAACACAGUCGCUAUGGCGCUUAAGCACGUGUAAUCACUUAUAGCUUAACCUUAUAGGAAAGCCUAGUGGAACCCACCUUCCAUGUGCCUUCGACCUUCCAAAGUUUCACCAGAUCACGCCCAUGGAUGGCGAUCACUAUGCUAUUUUAUUCACUUCAGAAAAUAAGUUUGGUUUGUGUGCUAUUUUAGAAGAGAUAGAAACUUUUGUUAAAGAGUAUCAAUGGACAUGAGCAAGACACUGGACAUGCCAAGUGACGGAUAGGUAAUGGAGUUAGAUGGGUUUGCUUGAUUAACUCCUGCUUUUGAAAAGAUAUGAAGUCCGAUAAGGGCUUAUUCCAAAAAAAUGCAUCAAACGCAUGAAAUGCAAUGCUAAUGAUAUGCUCAUGAUAAUGAUUUAGAGAAUGUGUCAUAGCAAAGAAUCAAAACAUUUGCGAAAUGCAAUGCUAAUGAUAUGCUCAUGAUAAUGAUUUAGAGAAUGUGUCAUAGCAAAGAAUCAAAACAUUUGCAUCUAAGGCUUUGGGCAGUUUUAUGUACUGCUCCCUCCGUUUCAUAAAGAUUGGCACGGCUUUGAACUAGCUCUAGUUUAAAUCCGUGCCAAUCUUUAUGGAACAGAGGGAGUAUACAUUUUUAUUGAGGUUUAAAGGAUUUAAAGCUAAAUAACAUCAUUUAAGAACUAGUUAUAUUUUUUUGAGGUUUAUUAAGUCACGUUAGAAAUUAUCUGACUGACAGUUUAUUGCUGAAAGGUUUGACAUUUUGAACUGAAUUUGGAUUCUCCUCAUAAAUUUUACCAUUUUGUACUGACUUCACUAAAGGUCUACCUGAUUUGGUCAUCCUAAAGCUAACUGAUGUAUACCUGGCUCAAUUAACCAGAAAGUUAACUGUCCUACCCAGAUUACCCAAAGACCUAUGGGCACAAGCAUUUUACUGAAACUCUGAAGAUUUGCUGGAACUACGGAUUUCAUGGAACAUGGGGUUAAAACUUAUCUAAAAAGGACCACUGAGCCAGCAGACAGAGAUUCGUUUGAGCAAGGUAGCAAGGUCAGUUGAAUAAACUCGUCCAAAAGGACCAGAGUUUUUUCAGCAAGUAGGAAGCUUAUCUGAAAAUCCACCUCUGAAGUCAGAAGCAACCGAGUAUUUCAAGGCUAGCAGGCAUUCAAAUAGCAUCUGCAAUGAUGUUUGACAAGUACAAAAGGUUACACAAUACUACAUCCGUCCCACAAUAGGAAGCGUAUUACCUUCUUUUUCUUUUGACCAAUGCUUUGACCACAAAUUACUCUGUUAAUAUAUAAUUAUAUGACAUAGAUUCAUAUCCAUUAUAUUUCUACUUAAGGAUAUUUGCUUAUGGUUA